CAGCCCUUUGCAGAAGGCUGAAGGCGAGGUUCCACAUUGGGCUCCUAGCUUGCCAGUAAGCAUCCACCGUAUUUCACAGGGCUCUGCUGGGGAGGGCACCAUGGCUGUGCUGUCAGAGAGGUUCCUUCAGAGAGAAGAGGGAUAGGAAAUAGAGGAGGCCACAACGAGAAGAGGAGAGGUUCGAAAAGGAGAAGCAGAUGGAUCUGCCACCACACACAAUGUCCCUUCUGUCAUAGGUUGUGCUGUGACCGCCCCAUGGCAGCGGCCAGAUGGAGGUGGAAUGGGACCAAUGGGAUCAAUGUGGUGAUGCCUACAAUCUUCUCCCUGCAUCACCUCAGAUCCACAUACACAGAACCACAAAGGCACUUUCCUCUCUGAGUACUUGUCUACCUGGCUACGUCUGCGUCUGACCUGUCUGGAUCUAUGAAAUAUCAAAGCUUGUGUCAGGCAGCGUGAAUAGGGAGAGAGAGGCACCAUUAAUGAUUAACUGUUCUAAAAGCCUAUCAGGCAGGCCAUGUGACAUGCUCGCAGCAUUUUUUGAGCAGAUUGGGGGAAGCUAGUGAGCAAACACAGGUGCUUUGGACUGGAGUCGCCGACGCUGUCAGGGACAACCACAAACAAGAGCAGCACUGCCGAGCUAAAUGAGAGCCCACCCACUUUACUUACUCCCUGGCUAGCUUAGCUUAGUCACUGACUGCAGUGGCUGGAGACCCUCACAGGAGACCAAGUCCAAUGUCCCCCCCCCCCAGUGUUCCAUAACCUUUCACACAAACAAAUCAAACGGGAGGAUUGGAGUCGCUGUGGUCUCAAGCAUAGGGGAAAGCAAACAAAUGAAUUGUGUUCCCGUUCUCACUUUCUAAAACAAACCAAAUGUGGGUUGAACACUUGUUCUUGAGAAAAGUGGAGGCAAUGAGAGAUAUUCCGAAAGGUGCUAAGGGUGUUCAGAAAUAUGCAGGAUGACAAACUGAUUCUCAGGAAAUGGAGUGGUUGAUUUGAUUCUUUCAUUAAUGUUUCAUGACAGGUGGAUGACGAAUAGAUCAUAAAGGCACAAAAGCAUAUUUUCUGUCAACAAAGUAAACUGUUUUGUUGUCCUGAUUUUGUUUAGAUUUUUCUGGAGUUGUUUUCAAUGUUUUAUAAACACGGUCUAGGUCCAGACACUUAACCUUUUUCUCCUCAAUAACGCCUGUCCCUUUGUAAAACGACUGAGUGCUUUCUGUAGCACAACUUUGAUAAUACAAUCAGAUGAUAUGAUGGCGUUAACUGAACACGGCUUUCCGGCAGCGAGAUAAAUGAACAGCACGAUAACGUUAACAAAAGCCUAGCUCUGAUUGGUAGGUCUAUGAUUGGAAAACAGGCAGCAUGGAAAGUCUACACAAUGAGGGCAAUUCAUUAGAUUUGUUAUUUUCUACAUGACCUGGGUCAGACGGACACCUUUUGUAUCAGUCAAAUAUUUAUUUGUGUGUUUUACAGGUCUUUCAUUUCAUACCCAGCAAUUACAGUGAGCCUGUAAAGCAGAGAUGAUAAAAGUGUUUUAAAACAAACACUCCAAAUCAACAGGAGAGGAGAUGAAGUUGUAAAGGCAGAGCGAGAGAGAGAGAGAAGCUGAGACAGAACAAGAGGGAGAAAGAGACAUAGAGAGAGAAGCUGAGAGAGAACGAGCGGGAGAGAGAGACAGAUAGAGAGAAGCAGAGAGAGAACAAGAGAGAGAGGGGGGGGGUAAAAACAGGGAAUGGACUCAGAGGGUAUGCUAAUUUGAUAUAGAGCAGACCCAACUCACUCUAUUAAAUGUAUCAAAACAGGAACAUUUUACAUUAGGCUAGAAAUUCAAAAGGAAAUUAUCUCAACAGAGAAAAAUGUCCUCCAGUGUGCUACCUAUAUCCCCCCACUAGAAUCCCCAUACUUUAAUAAGACAGCUUCUCCAUCCUGGAGGGGGAAAUCAAUCAUUUCCAGGCCCAGGGACAUGUAUUAGUCUGUGAUGACCUAAAUGCAAGAACUGGACAAGAACCUGACAUCCUCAGCACACAGGGGGACAAACACCUACCUGGAGGAGACAGCAUUCCCUCCCCCAUAUGCCCCCCUAGGCACAACUACGACAACAUAACCAACAAAAACGGGUCACAACUCCUCCGGCUCUGUCGCAUGCUGGGUAUGUACAUAGUCAAUGAUAGGCUUCGAGGGGACUCCUAAGGUAGGAACACCUAUAGCUCAUCUCUUGUAGUACUGUAGACUACUUUAUCACUGACAUCAACCCAGAGUCACUCAGAGUGUUCACAUUCUGCCCACUGACACCCCUAUCAGAUCACAGCAAAAUCACAGUCUACUUGAACAGAGCACUACUCUAUCAUGAGGCAUCAAAGCCAAAGGAAUUGAAUAAUAUUAAGAAAUGAUAAAGAUGGAAGGAAAGUAGUGUGGAAACCUACCAAAAAACAAUUAGGCAACAACAAAUUCAAUUCCUUUUAGACAACUUCCUGGACAAAACGUUUCAUUGUAAUAGUGAAGGUGUAAACUUGUCAGUAGAAAAUCUAAACAGUAUAUUUUACCUCUCAUCUUCCCUAUCAAAUCUAAAAAUGUCAAACAGAAACCGAAGAAAAUGAACAACAAUGACAAAUGGUUUGAUGAAGAAUGCAAAAACCUAAGAAAGAAAUUGAGAAACCUAUCGAACCAAAAACAUAGAGACCCAGAAAACCUGAGCCUACGCCUUCACUAUGGUGAAUCACUAAAAUAAUACAGAAAUACACUACGGAAAAAAGAAGUAACAGCACGUCAGAAAUCAGCUCAAUGUAAUCCAUAGACUCUAACCACUUCUGGGAAAAUUGGAAAACACUAAACAAACAAUAACACAAAGAGAUAUCUAUUCAAAAUGGAGGUGUAUGGGUAAACCACUUCUCCAGUCUUUUUGGCCCUAUAACAAAGAACAAACAGCAAAAACAUAAUCAUGAUCAAAUACAACUCUUAGAAUAAACUAUUAAAGACUACCAGGACCCACUGGAUUCUCUAACUACAUUGAAUGAACUACAGGACAAAAUACAAACCCUCCAACCCAAAAAGGCCUGUGGUGUUGAUUAUAUCCUCAAUGAAUUGAUAAAAUAUGCAUACCAUAAAUUCCAAUUGGCUAUACUUAAACUUUUUAACAUCACCAUUAGCUCUGGUAUCUUCCCAAAGGAUUUGGAACCACAAAAGUGGAGACAAAUUUGACCCCAAUAACUAUCGUGGGAUAUGCAUCUUCAGCAACCUUGGGAAAAUCCUCUGCAUUAUCAUCAACAUCAGACUCAUACAUUUCUUCAGUGAAAACAAUGUACUGAGCAAAUGUCAAAAUGGCUUUUCACCAAAUUACCGUAUGAUAAAAACCACAUAUUCACACUGCACACCCUAAUUGACAAACAAACAAACCAAAACUAAGGCAAAGUCUUCUCAUGCUUUGUUAAUUUC